UUCUAAUUUCCCUCAAUAUACUAUUUCUUAAUCAUGCAAAUGCCACCAAAAUCCUGAUUACUUCAAAUUUAUUAUCCCAAUAUCAAUGUGUUUGCUAUGUGUGUAAAGGACUUCACAAAGUGAACUACGGAACAUGGCAGCAUUUCAAUGCUAGAUGCCAAGAAAAGAUAUUGGUUGCGCAAAGGCCUCCUUUAAAAUCCUCUGCUAAAUUAAACAAUCUAACUAAAGUGAGAGAGACAUUUUUGGCUAAACUUUUCAGUAUUUUCUAUUUGAAAGACUGAAUUUCUUGUGCAAUUGAAUGCCUAAACGAGGAAAAUAAUUUGCAAUGCCUUUACCGCUUUCUUGGUGACUGGCAAGUGCCAUGAUGGAUCAAACAAACAUAAAAUUUUGCUUUUCUUACCACAUCAGCAGACACAGACUAAUAUAUGAAAAAAAUUAAAAAAACUCAGUUGCCCCUCACAUAACAAGUAACAACCCCACCGCUUCUCUACUCCUCUCUUCAACUUCUCCUCUUUCUCUCUAUUCCUCUUGACUCUAAAU
rnacentral:misc_RNA from 1 species